GUGAGUGAUGACGUAAGAGGGGCGGGGUUAAUGUUUUAGUUAAUCUGUCCUCCUGGCUCCGCGCUGUUGUGGUGACGAGACCUCUUCCUUCCUCCCCGCCUGCCACUCUUCACACCGAUUCAACGGUACUUCAAACAGCUUUGGCGCGGAACGACCUGACAUACAAUGGCUGAACAAGACAAUCGUGGACGGAUGUAUUUUGACUCCAGCAACCUCAACAUCACCCUUCCCAACAGGUGUUCCCGCUGCCACCACUACAGGAAGGACGGGGAAGCCCCAAACCUGUGGGAGAGUCUGGUAAUUGUGCUGUACAAGGCAGUGAGGGCCAGUCCAUGCAAUGUUUUUAAGCUGUUGGCCAAAGCUUACCUCGUGUACAUCUCUCUUACUUGCCUAGGUCUAAUCGUCAAUCUUUUGGCCGAUCAAGAAUCACAAUUUCCUGAGAUGUGUUUUCUGAUGUCUUACAUAUUGUCCAUAUGCUGCUGCUACUAUUUUGUAUACAAUCAAGCCAAAGAUAUUAGGGAUAAUAUUACUAAGCUACAGAACACACCACUGUAUACUUGCUUAGAAAUGAAUGAUGAAAACUGAGGGUCAACACCACGCUGUGUCCGGCCACUGGGCCGGACUCCCAGUGGCCGGACACACAUUGGCCUCCAAGUGCACGUUCAGACCUGGACGGUCGUCUACGUUUAAGGAUUUACUAUGGUGCUCGAUUCACGGGAGGAACAGACAUGGUUGGGCACGUUUCCUUUCACCUGAUGGCUCUGUUCACCUAGCAUUAAAUAGGUAUCCAGGAGUUAGGUAACUGUUGUGGGGUUUUGUCGAGGCUUCUAGUCCUCGACAAUGAUGGGAACUGUGUGCAGGUUGGGCAAAAUUAUAUAUUAAUUUAGCCAGUAAAGAUGUUAAUAGUAAGAAAGGCGCUUUAUAAAUGCUAUAUCUGGUGUGAUGAGUUAUUAAAACAAACAUUUACCUAUUUUUGGAAUUGUUUAUGUUCAACGUACUUUCACCUUCAUGUAUAUAUUUAAGUAGAUGAAUAAAUAAUGUUCAAUGUUUAUUUUUAUUAUCUAUUUUAUAAAAAUUUUACCACAA